rnacentral:rRNA from 1 species
UACAGAGGUCCCAAGCGUUGUUCGGAUUCACUGGGCGUAAAGGGUGCGUAGGCGGUCGGGUAAGUCUGACGUGAAAUCUUCAAGCUCAACUUGGAAACUGCGUCCGAUACUAUUCGGCUAGAGGAAUGGAGGGGAGACUGGAAUUCCUGGUGUAGCGGUGGAAUGCGCAGAUAUCAGGAGGAACACCGGUGGCGAAGGCGGGUCUCUGGGCAGUAACUGACGCUGAGGAGCGAAAGCGUGGGGAGCGAACAGG